ensembl:misc_RNA Metazoa_SRP Metazoan signal recognition particle RNA
GCCGGGCGUGGUGGCUCACGCCUGUAAUCCCAGCACCUUGGGAGGCCAAGGCAGGAGGGUCACUUGAGGUCAGGAGUUCAAGACCAGCCUGGCCAACAUGGUGAAAUCCUGUUUCUA